rnacentral:rRNA from 1 species
AGAACGAACGCUGGCGGCAUGCCUAAUACAUGCAAGUCGAACGAACACUUCGGUGUUAGUGGCGCACGGGUGCGUAACGCGUGGGAAUCUGCCCUUGGGUUCGGAAUAACAGUUGGAAACGACUGCUAAUACCGGAUGAUAUCGAAAGAUCAAAGAUUUAUCGCCCAGGGAUGAGCCCGCGUAGGAUUAGCUAGUUGGUGAGGUAAAGGCUCACCAAGGCGACGAUCCUUAGCCGGUCUGAGAGGAUGAUCAGCCACACUGGGACUGAGACACGGCCCAGACUCCUACGGGAGGCAGCAGUGGGGAAUAUUGGACAAUGGGCGAAAGCCUGAUCCAGCCAUGCCGCGUGUGCGAAGAGGU